GGGUUGUGAGGUUAAGCGACUAAGCGUACACGGUGGAUGCCCUGGCAGUCAGAGGCGAUGAAGGGCGUGCUAAUCUGCGAUAAGCGCCGGUAAGGUGAUAUGAACCGUUAUAACCGGCGAUACCCGAAUGGGGAAACCCAGUGUGAUUCGUCACACUAUCAUUAACUGAAUCCAUAGGUUAAUGAGGCGAACCGGGGAACUGAAACAUCUAAGUACCCCGAGGAAAAGAAAUCAACCGAGAUUCCCCAGUAGCGGCGAGCGAACGGGGAGGAGCCCAGAGCCUGAAUCAGCAUGUGUGUUAGUGGAAGCGUCUGGAAAGGCGCGCGAUACAGGGUGACAGCCCCGUACACAAAAGCGCAUGUGCUGUGAGCUCGAUGAGUAGGGCGGGACACGUGGUAUCCUGUCUGAAUAUGGGGGGACCAUCCUCCAAGGCUAAAUACUCCUGACUGACCGAUAGUGAACCAGUACCGUGAGGGAAAGGCGAAAAGAACCCCGGCGAGGGGAGUGAAAAAGAACCUGAAACCGUGUACGUACAAGCAGUGGGAGCACCCUUCGGGGUGUGACUGCGUACCUUUUGUAUAAUGGGUCAGCGACUUAUAUUCUGUAGCAAGGUUAACCGUAUAGGGGAGCCGCAGGGAAACCGAGUCUUAACCGGGCGUUAAGUUGCAGGGUAUAGACCCGAAACCCGGUGAUCUAGCCAUGGGCAGGUUGAAGGUUGGGUAACACUAACUGGAGGACCGAACCGACUAAUGUUGAAAAAUUAGCGGAUGACCUGUGGCUGGGGGUGAAAGGCCAAUCAAACCGGGAGAUAGCUGGUUCUCCCCGAAAGCUAUUUAGGUAGCGCCUCGUGAAUUCAUCUCCGGGGUAGAGCACUGUUUCGGCUAGGGGGCCAUCCCGGCUUACCAACCCGAUGCAAACUGCGAAUACCGGAGAAUGUUAUCACGGGAGACACACGGCGGGUGCUAACGUCCGUCGUGAAGAGGGAAACAACCCAGACCGCCAGCUAAGGUCCCAAAGUCAUGGUUAAGUGGGAAACGAUGUGGGAAGGCCCAGACAGCCGGAUGUUGGCUUAGAAGCAGCCAUCAUUUAAAGAAAGCGUAAUAGCUCACUGGUCGAGUCGGCCUGCGCGGAAGAUGUAACGGGGCUAAACCAUGCACCGAAGCUGCGGCAGCGACACUGUGUGUUGUUGGGUAGGGGAGCGUUCUGUAAGCCUGCGAAGGUGGCCUGUGAGGGUUGCUGGAGGUAUCAGAAGUGCGAAUGCUGACAUAAGUAACGAUAAAGCGGGUGAAAAGCCCGCUCGCCGGAAGACCAAGGGUUCCUGUCCAACGUUAAUCGGGGCAGGGUGAGUCGACCCCUAAGGCGAGGCCGAAAGGCGUAGUCGAUGGGAAACGGGUUAAUAUUCCCGUACUUGGUGUUACUGCGAAGGGGGGACGGAGAAGGCUAUGUUGGCCGGGCGACGGUUGUCCCGGUUUAAGCGUGUAGGUGUGUGUUCCGGUAAAUCCGGUUCACUUUAACACUGAGGCGUGACGACGAGGCACUACGGUGCUGAAGCAACAAAUGCCCUGCUUCCGGAAAAGCCUCUAAGCAUCAGGUAACAUCAAAUCGUACCCCAAACCGACACAGGUGGUCAGGUAGAGAAUACCAAGGCGCUUGAGAGAACUCGGGUGAAGGAACUAGGCAAAAUGGUGCCGUAACUUCGGGAGAAGGCACGCUGACACGUAGGUGAAGUGAUUUACUCAUGGAGCUGAAGUCAGUCGAAGAUACCAGCUGGCUGCAACUGUUUAUUAAAAACACAGCACUGUGCAAACACGAAAGUGGACGUAUACGGUGUGACGCCUGCCCGGUGCCGGAAGGUUAAUUGAUGGGGUCAGCGCAAGCGAAGCUCCUGAUCGAAGCCCCGGUAAACGGCGGCCGUAACUAUAACGGUCCUAAGGUAGCGAAAUUCCUUGUCGGGUAAGUUCCGACCUGCACGAAUGGCGUAAUGAUGGCGGCUGUCUCCACCCGAGACUCAGUGAAAUUGAACUCGCUGUGAAGAUGCAGUGUACCCGCGGCAAGACGGAAAGACCCCGUGAACCUUUACUAUAGCUUGACACUGAACAUUGAGCCUUGAUGUGUAGGAUAGGUGGGAGGCUUUGAAGUGUGGACGCCAGUCUGCAUGGAGCCGACCUUGAAAUACCACCCUUUAAUGUUUGAUGUUCUAACGUGGACCCGUAAUCCGGGUUGCGGACAGUGUCUGGUGGGUAGUUUGACUGGGGCGGUCUCCUCCUAAAGAGUAACGGAGGAGCACGAAGGUUGGCUAAUCCUGGUCGGACAUCAGGAGGUUAGUGCAAUGGCAUAAGCCAGCUUGACUGCGAGCGUGACGGCGCGAGCAGGUGCGAAAGCAGGUCAUAGUGAUCCGGUGGUUCUGAAUGGAAGGGCCAUCGCUCAACGGAUAAAAGGUACUCCGGGGAUAACAGGCUGAUACCGCCCAAGAGUUCAUAUCGACGGCGGUGUUUGGCACCUCGAUGUCGGCUCAUCACAUCCUCGGGGCUGAAGUAGGUCCCAAGGGUAUGGCUGUUCGCCAUUUAAAGUGGUACGCGAGCUGGGUUUAGAACGUCGUGAGACAGUUCGGUCCCUAUCUGCCGUGGGCGCUGGAGAACUGAGGGGGCUGCUCCUAGUACGAGAGGACCGGAGUGGACGCAUCACUGGUGUUCGGGUUGUCAUGCCAAUGGCACUGCCCGGUAGCUAAAUGCGGAAGAGAUAAGUGCUGAAAGCAUCUAAGCACGAAACUUGCCCCGAGAUGAGUUCUCCCUGAGACUUAGAGUCUCCUGAAGGAACGUUGAAGACGACGACGUUGAUAGGCCGGGUGUGUAAGCGCAGCGAUGCGUUGAGCUAACCGGUACUAAUGAACCGUGAGGCUUAACCUUACAACGCCGAAG
rnacentral:rRNA from 1 species